GUACGCGCUCAGGUGCAUGGCUGCGGAACGUGGAGGUGUAGGUCCGGCUGGAGGAAGACUGGUGCUGGGUGAGGAGCGUGUGGGUCCCGGGGUUUUAUACAGCCGGCACCGCCUCGAGCUCUGGCAGCUACUCAGGUGAACCCAGUCUGUCAUUAAACUUCACACUCGGCGUCUGUUAUUGUUUCCUCUCUUUUGUUCCUCCUGGAACAGAAGACACCAGAGGCUCAUUCACUGCACUUCCGAGGGGAAAAUAAAGGACAACAUGGCCGGCUCUCCUCAGAAGACUAUUUACACUUCGACGCCCCUCUGAGCUUCUUAUGGGACCAGCUUGGAUGAAUGCUGCACAGUGAAUACGAUAGGCCUCCCUGCUGGCUUUUGUUGCCUUCUGCUAUGUAAAGAAACAGAAAGCCGAGAGCCGACUCCCUUCUCGGAGCAGCACUGAAACUCUGCGGCAGGAAUCCGCUCGCCCUCGAACCCUCAUGGGAAAUGAAAAGGUGGCCGGUGUUAAUAGCAUAUUGACAAGCAGCAUGGCAGGAGUGUGUGCAUGAUCAGGAAGCGCCCACAUGCAGCAAUGGGAGGUGUGUCGAGGGCGACCGGAGGGGAACAAAAGCAACGCACAACACCGGAACAAAGCCAAGGAAGAGAGGUCUCCAGGCAACAGGUGUGGCUGCAGUGACAGGUGAAACACAAUGGAGGUGGACGGCUUGAUCUCCAACGCUGAUACUUUAAAAACCCCAAAGACACAUAAUCUGUCUGGUUUAACUUUAUUUUUCUUCUCUCACACUGAAAACAGAACAUACGGGACUCUCUUCAGCAGUGUGGAAUAACAAGAGACGCUGAUGUUUGUGAGCUUCGCCUUGACAAAAAAUCAGAGAGCUCAGCUGUCAUUCCCUCAACUGCUGCCUCACUGAACUUCACCUCCACAAUAACAACAUCAAGUCAGUCUCAGUAAUCUAAUCUAAGUCCACCCAGGUCCUUCACACAGGGGCCCUGAAUCACCUGACCUGCCUCCGACUUCUUCUCCUCCACAACAACCAGAUCAGAGGUCUGCAGGACACCAUGCAUGAACUCAGGAGGAUGCAGCAGCUUCAGACUGCGACUUUCUUCCUCAAUCCCUUCUCCCACGAGCCUGGGUAUCGACCCCAUGUCAUCCACUGCCUACCUUCUAUCCAGGUACUAGACAGAAAAGAGGUGCUGUCAGCAGAGAGGAGGAGCUGCCUCCAGAUGUUCAGCCGUGAUCGUCACCGUGUCCUCCAGUCUGUGGCCUUCAGCAGACGGGCAACAUGACCGUCCACCAGCUGAGAGGAUGUUUGUUAUCCAUCUUAGCAAAAAAGUCCAGUUGUGUUCAAAUAUGUGUUUGUUUUUAUUUCAAAACACUGAAUUACUUUUUAAUGACCUGUCAGAGUACGAUUUAUUGACCUGCUUAUUCAACUAAUCGAUACAGGGGGAACUUCAAAGAGAGAUGCAAUUAAUCUGAUAUCUGAUAAAGCGGUGAGGUGAGCAACUCAAACUCUCCAGGAUCUCUGCUCUGAUGGAUGAUGAGGAGCAGGAGAGUCAGAUGAAGAAGAAGAAGAGGAAGAGGACUAAGGCUCUGGGUAACGACACGAUCAGAGCCACAGAGGAGGAGCUGAGAGCUGAAGACGUCCAGCAGUGCCGUCCUGCUGGAUGAUACACAGCAGCCCUCAGGAGCUCUGAUCAGACGUGGCCAAACACCUGGGCUACCUGAACCUUCAACAUCUGGAACCAGAUGAAGGAAGAUGGUGUCCUGCACUCCUGUGAUUCAUCCAGAACUCCUCCUGUCUGAAGAUCUGACCAGUGUGAGUCAUGGAGAGAGACAGAAGCCUCCGACUGGACUGUGAUCGUUUAGUCCUCGGCUCUGACGGUUGUCAGUGUGGUAGCAGAGGCUGCUGUGAGAAAGGGAGAUAUAAGCUCACAGUCCACAUUGUGGGGAACAUGGCUGUAUAAAGGUGAAGGCACAACAUGCUCUCUACCCGGUCCAGACACUAUCCAGAGGAUCAGAGUUCAUCCAGACUGGAAACUACCACUGAAGAAAGUCAGGUGAAGUUGGAAGUCGUAGGACAGAAAACACACACAACAUUUCUGGAGCUUCAAAGCAAGACAGUGUUGCAGCAUUCAAGUAAAAAGAACCAACCGAAAGUAAUAUAAUAUGGCUCUUUUCAGCUUGUCCAGCAUGAUCAUGACCCAUUCACUACUGCGAUGUCAACGAGUGAGAAAACUGUCAUUCCCUUCAUCCUGGAUCUGACCCAGAAGUCACUCCUCA